rnacentral:tRNA from 1 species
UGGGGUGUGGCUCAGUGGUAGAGCUCUUGCCUAGUACAUACGAAGAACUGGGUUUGACCCUCAGCACCACAU